AGCAGUGUGGCUCAGUGGAAAGAGCACGGGCUUGGGAGUCAGAGAUCAUGGGUUCAAAUCCCAGCUCAUCUU
rnacentral:tRNA from 1 species